rnacentral:lncRNA from 10 species
AUGUGGUCAUCUAACUAAAUUUUCUUUGAUUUUUUGGAGAAGGGUGUGGGUGUUACAGGCUGGUGCAGCAAUAAGGUAGAGCUUUAAGUUAUAGGGAGGAAACUUUAAGUUGUCAACCAUUGCUAUUUCAGAGACAUCAUGAAGAUGUGAAAUCACUUUGGAGCAUACCUGCUUUAUUUUGAGAUGAGCCAUUUGAGUGGACCCUUCUGAGUGAUGUAGACAUAGGCACAACAUGACAGCCGGAGCAACAGUAGCUAUCUUAUGAAUGUGAGAAUGUGGAUCAUACUAGAUUGAUGAACUGCAAUUGCCCUAUCAGCCCAGCACUGCCUACUUCUGGAAUUCUCGUUGUGUGUGAGAA